AUUGACCUCGGAUCAGGUAGGGAUACCCGCUGAACUUAAGCAUAUCAAUAAGCGGAGGAAAAGAAACCAACAGGGAUUGCCUCAGUAACGGCGAGUGAAGCGGCAUCAGCUCAGAUUUGAAAUCUGGCCCCUUCGGGGUCCGAGUUGUAAUCUGUAGAGAGUGCUUCGGGUGAGACCACGGUCUAAGUCCAUUGGAACAUGGCGUCAUAGAGGGUGAGAAUCCCGUAUGUGACUGUGGCUCGAGCCCAUGUGAAGCCUCUUCGACGAGUCGAGUUGUUUGGGAAUGCAGCUCAAAAUGGGUGGUAAAUUUCAUCUAAAGCUAAAUACUGGCUGGAGACCGAUAGCGCACAAGUAGAGUGAUCGAAAGAUGAAAAGCACUUUGGAAAGAGAGUCAAACAGUACGUGAAAUUGUUGAAA
rnacentral:rRNA from 1 species